UGGGGAAUUUUGGACAAUGGGCGCAAGCCUGAUCCAGCAAUGCCGCGUGCAGGAUGAGGGCCUUCGGGUUGCAAACUGCUUUUGUACGGAGCGAAAAGGUUUCUCUUAAUACGAGGAGCUCAUGACGGUACCGUAAGAAUAAGCACCGGCUAACUACGUGCCAGCAGCCGCGGUAAUACGUAGGGUGCAAGCGUUAAUCGGAAUUACUGGGCGUAAAGCGUGCGCAGGCGGUUAUGCAAGACAGAGGUGAAAUCCCCGGGCUCAACCUGGGAACUGCCUUUGUGACUGUAUAGCUAGAGUACGGUAGAGGGGGAUGGAAUUCCGCGUGUAGCAGUGAAAUGCGUAGAUAUGCGGAGGAACACCGAUGGCGAAGGCAAUCCCCUGGACCUGUACUGACGCUCAUGCACGAAAGCGUGGGGAGCAAACA
rnacentral:rRNA from 1 species